CCUUCGAUAGCUCAGUUGGUAGAGCGGGGGACUGUAGAUUUAUAAUUGUGAUCCCUAGGUCGCUGGUUCGAAUCCGGCUCGAAGAC
rfam:Nematostella vectensis strain CH2 x CH6 NEMVEscaffold_605_Cont30731, whole genome shotgun sequence.